CUUUAAAGCAGAGCAUUUUCUCUGUGGCUGGUAGAAGAGGAAGUAAGAGAUUGAAUGGGUGAGAGGGAUUCAAUGGGAAUAGAGAACAGAGGUUCUCAUUGCUGAGAUGGCAGGGGUCAUAGGGCAAAGACCAGAGAAGCCACUAGGAGCUAAGAACAGGCCCGACCAGCAGUCAGAAAGGAAACAGGGAUCUCAGGCCUGCGGCUGCAAGGAACUGAACACUGCCAACCACCUGAGGUCUGCGGCAGCUGUCAAGCAUCUCAGUAACUCUGGCUGGAGGAUGAGGCCUGACUUUACAUAAGUCCUCUGCAGGACCGAGGCUGUGUGGACGGAGGCUGUGUGGAUGGAGAUCCCACCAUCACCGAGUUCGGGCAAGUCCCAUGAGGGUCUCAGCUCCUCAUCCGUAACAUCAGGAUGAUAAAGCCUCCCUCGCAGGAUGGCCGUGCGAGUGCCCAGAUCCCAGGAGAGGGCUGGUAAAUGGGCGUUGCCUGCCCCAUCCCUUUCUACCUGCACGGAAAAGGAGAGAUGGCCCAGCCUCAGGUCAUCAGGACCCUUGAGCCAACCCUGCAUCUCAGCCCUGACUCCCACCCAGAAUGCCGGCCUUCCUCACCAAGGGUCUGGCUGACACCUCUGCGAUGCUCAUCACUAGUCACUUGGGAUUCCCUGGUGAUAUGGUUUGGCUGUGUCCCCACCCAACUCUCAUCUUGAAUUGUAGUUCCCAUAAUCCCCACAUGUCAUGGGAGGGACGGGGUGGAGAUAAUUCAAUCAUGGAGCGGUUUCCUCUGUCCUGUUCUCAUGAUAGUGAGCUAGUUCUCACGAGAUCUGAUUGUUUUAUAAAGGGCUUCUUUCUUCGCUGGGCACUCAUUCUCUCUCCUGCCAUCAUGUGAAGAGGGUCUUUGCUUCCCCUUUACUUUCCAUCAUGAUUGUAAGUUUCCUGAGGUCUCCCCAGCCAUGCGGAACUGUGAGUCAAUUAAACCUCUUUCCUUUAUAAAUUACCCAGUCUUGGGUAUUCCUUCAUAGAAGCAUGAGAAUAGACUAGUACACCUGGGGAGCAAGGCCUAGGGUGAAAAGUGAAGCUCAGAGCAGUUACCCUCC
rnacentral:lncRNA from 10 species